UUAAUUGUGGGAUCUAUUGGACUUUUUGGACUUAUUCUCCUUGCUUUGAUGCAAAAAAUAAGGAGUGGGAGUAAUGUGCUUGGUGUUGCUAUGGCAUGCUNNNNNNNNNCAUUUGGACUUGUUACAGGUGCCUUUCUUCUUGGUUUUGGUUUGAGUGAAAUUCCUAAGAACCUGUGGAGAAAUGCAGAUUGGACAACCCGCCAAAAAGUUCUUUCUCAUAAAAUUGCCAAAAUGGCUGUGAAACUUGAUGACGCUCAUCAAGAACUUUCAAAUGCUAUUGUAGUUGCUCAGGCAACUUCCAAUCAGAUGUCCAAGCGUGACC
rnacentral:misc_RNA from 1 species